rnacentral:rRNA from 1 species
ACCUACGGGGGGCAGCAGUAGGGAAUCUUCCACAAUGGGCGAAAGCCUGAUGGAGCAACGCCGCGUGGGUGAGGAAGGUCUUCGGAUCGUAAAACCCUGUUGUUAGAGAAGAAAGUGCGUGAGAGUAACUGUUCACGUUUCGACGGUAUCUAACCAGAAAGCCACGGCUAACUACGUGCCAGCAGCCGCGGUAAUACGUAGGGGGCAAGCGUUAUCCGGAAUUAUUGGGCGUAAAGGAAACGCAGGCGGUCUUUUAAGUCUGAUGUGAAAGCCUUCGGCUUAAACGGAGUAGUGCAUUGGAAACU